AGUGAACGCUGGCGGUAGGCCUAACACAUGCAAGUCGAACGGCAGCACAGUAAGAGCUUGCUCUUACGGGUGGCGAGUGGCGGACGGGUGGGGAAUACAUCGGAAUCUACUUUUUCGUGGGGGAGAACGUAGGGAAACUUACGCUAAUACCGCAUACGACCUACGGGUGAAAGCAGGGGAUCUUCGGAUCUUGCGCGAUUGAAUGAGCCGAUGGCGGAUUAGCUAGUUGGCGGGGUAAAGGCCCACCAAGGCGACGAUCCGUAGCUGGUCUGAGAGGAUGAUCAGCGACACUGGAACUGAGACACGGUCCAGACUCCUACGGGAGGCAGCAGUGGGGAAUAUUGGCCAAUGGGGGGAAGCCUGCUCCAGCCAUGCCGCGUGGGUGAAGAAGGCCUUCGGGUUGUAAAGCCCUUUUGUUGGGGAAGAAAAGCAGCAGGUUAAUACCCCGCUGUUCUGACGGUACCCAAAUAAUAAGCACCGGCUAACUUCGUG
rnacentral:rRNA from 1 species